GGCUGGGUAUUUUAAUAUAAAAAAAAUAGUUUGCGUCUAUGCAAUGGGCAUGCCCUCCAGCCC
rnacentral:tRNA from 1 species